rnacentral:rRNA from 1 species
AACGAACGCUGGCGGCGCGCCUAAUACAUGCAAGUCGAGCGAGAAGACGUAGCAAUACGUUUGUAAAGCGGCGAACGGGUGAGGAAUACAUGGGUAACCUACCCUCGAGUGGGGAAUAACUAGCCGAAAGGUUAGCUAAUACCGCGUACGCUUCUUGGACUUCGGUUCAGGGAGGAAAGCGAUACCGUGGGUAUCGCGCUCUUGGAUGGGCUCAUGUCCUAUCAGCUUGUUGGGAGGUAACGGCUCACCAAGGCUUCGACGGGUAGCUGGUCUGAGAGGACGAUCAGCCACACUGGCACUGCGACACGGGGCCAGACUCCUACGGGAGGCAGCAGUAAGGAAUAUUGCGCAAUGGGCGAAAGCCUGACGCAGCGACGCCGCGUGGGGGAUGAA